rfam:Zostera marina strain Finnish scaffold_94, whole genome shotgun sequence.
GCUGGAAUAGCUCAGUUGGUUAGAGCGUGUGGCUAUUAACCACAAGGUCGAAAGUUCGACCCCUUCUUUUAGCG